rnacentral:rRNA from 1 species
AUGGUGGCUUCACACACCUUUGGAGAGCUACAGCAUGAGUUGGUCCAAGACGAAGAGAGCUAUGUGGCGAGAGUUUGUGCCUCCAACCUACAAGGAACAACUUCUAUGCCAAUUGGAGAACACCAUACAAGGAUCCAAGUCCAUCGACGCGUACUUAAAGGAGAUGAAGAUUGCCUUGUGACGAGCCGGCGUGGACGACCCCAUUUCGAUGAAGUUCCACUUCAUGAUGGGAUUAAACAACAACAUCUCCAAGACUAUCUUCCUCGAGAACUACAAGUCCCUCGACGACAACUACAUUGGUGCUCCCAAGGCGGAACAAGAACUCAUGAAGGCCAAGGCUUCUCCACCCCAAGCUCACUUCGCGACGACCAAGCUACAAGAGAAUGA